AUUGAACGCUGGCGGCAUGCCUUACACAUGCAAGUCGAACGGCAGCGGGGGAGAAGCUUGCUUUUCCUGCCGGCGAGUGGCGAACGGGUGAGUAAUACAUCGGAACGUGCCCUGUAGUGGGGGAUAACUAGUCGAAAGAUUAGCUAAUACCGCAUACGACCUGAGGGUGAAAGUGGGGGACCGCAAGGCCUCAUGCUAUAGGAGCGGCCGAUGUCUGAUUAGCUAGUUGGUGGGGUAAAGGCCUACCAAGGCGACGAUCAGUAGCUGGUCUGAGAGGACGAUCAGCCACACUGGGACUGAGACACGGCCCAGACUCCUACGGGAGGCAGCAGUUGGGAAUUUUGGACAAUGGGCGAAAGCCUGAUCCAGCAAUGCCGCGUGUGUGAAGAAGGCCUUCGGGUUGUAAAGCACUUUUGUCCGGAAAGAAAUGGCUCUGGUUAAUACCUGGGGUCGAUGACGGUACCGGAAGAAUAAGGACCGGCCAACUACGUGCCAGCAGCCGCAGUAA
rnacentral:rRNA from 1 species